CCUACGGGUGACAGCAGUGGGGAAUAUUGGACAAUGGUGGGAACCCUGAUCCAGCGCCGCCGCGUGAGUGAAGAAGUAUUUCGGUAUGUAAAGCUCUAUCAGCAGGGACGAAAGAAAUGACGGUACCUGCCUAUGAAGCCCCGGCUAACUACGUGCCAGCAGCCGCGGUAAUACGUAGGGGGCAAUCGUUAUCCGGAUGUACUGGGUGUAAAGGGAGCGUAGACUGCGAUGCAAGUCUGAAGUGAAAGGCGGGGGCUCAACCCCCGUACUGCUUUGGAAACUGUAUGGCUGGAGUGCAGGAGAGGUAAGUGGAAUUCCUAGUGUAGCGGUGAAAUGCGUAGAUAUUAGGAGGAACACCAGUGGCGAAGGCGGCUUACUGGACUGUAACUGACGUUGAGGCUCGAAAGCGUGGGGAGCAAACAGGAUUAGAUACCCGAGUAGUC
rnacentral:rRNA from 1 species